GGCACCCACACCCAGGCGCGCCCGCGCGCGCGCCCGGCCCCGUCCCUGUCUGGAAGCACAGCUGAAGAUGGCGAGCCCGGCGCCUCCGGAGCACGCCGAGGAGGGAUGCCCGGCUCCUGCCGCCGAGGAGCAGGCGCCGCCGUCGCCGCCACCGCCCCAGGCAUCCCCCGCAGAGCGGCAGCAGCAGGAGGAGGAAGCGCAGGAAGCUGGGGCGGCGGAGGGCGCGGGGUUGCAGGUGGAGGAGGCCGCGGGCCGGGCGGCGGCCGCGGUAACCUGGCUGCUCGGGGAGCCGGUGCUGUGGCUGGGCUGCCGCGCCGACGAGCUGCUGAGCUGGAAGAGGCCGCUGCGGAGCCUGCUCGGCUUCGUCGCUGCCAACCUGCUGUUCUGGUAGACACUCACCGCAACUUUCCUCCGGACGCACGUCCCUGUGAGCAGUUGUCGUUCUCCGUGUGCGGAUCCAGCCUCAGAUGCGAGGUGGUCGGCCGACCCUCAGGCACCUGCACCUACAGGUGUUCCCAUCGUGCUUGAAAACUUCGCCCCUGCUUUCUAAAACUCUGAGGUCUUGACCUGCUCGCCCAAGCUUGCCGGAGCAAACGUGCUUGAACGUGUCUUGGUUCUUGCAGCCCCAGCAGGCAUAUCUGGACCAGAUUAGGUACCCGUUCAAAACGGUGCCGCAUUCAUCAGUCACCUGAGAUGGGCCCUGAAUGAUUUGUUUUUUCCUUCCCCUGGAGCGUUAGGUUUACUGUGUUUACUCCCUGAUGAGAAAACGGGAGGCAAACAAGCAGGUGGAGUAUGCCCAGCACCCAC
rnacentral:lncRNA from 1 species